AGGUGAUUGGAAAACACAGAAAUUUGAAAAGCAUAAUCACUUCAAUGGACUACAUGAAAACGUAGGAUUUUUCCUAAGCGGUUUGAAUUUAUGCUAAAGUUCAUGUAAGACGCGUUGGAACGAAGGAAAAUCCUAGGAGGAGUAGAGGUUUCAGUUCCAGAUGAAAGGAACUGCCUCCGCGCGUUUGGAACAGGAAUUCACGAAAGCCUUUCGAGAGGAACGGUGAGAAAGUGUGUACUCUUGGAAAACUUUCCUGCAAUGCUCGUGCGCUAACCAAGCUCGUUGCAGCGUUGAUUUUAUUACCUUUGUAAACUGAGGGCUUGUUUAGUUCCGAAGUGAAAAGUUUUCGGAACUGUAGCACUUUCGUUUGUUUGUGAUAAAUAUUAUCCAAUCAUAGAUUAACUAGAAUCAAAAGAUUCGUCUCGUGAUUUACAGCUAAACUGUGUAAUUAAUUUUUAUUUUCGUCUAUAUUUAAUGUUUCAUGCAUGUGCUACAAGAUUCGAUGUGACGAGGAAUCUUGAAAAUUUUUUGGUUUUCAGGGUGAACUAAACAAGGCCUGAGAGGAAAGAAAGAAAAGAAGAAGACAAGGAGCGACAUGAACACUAG
rnacentral:lncRNA from 1 species